GCCCCCGUAACUCAGCUUGGAUAGAGUGUCUGACUUCUAAUCAGAAAGUCGCGGGUUCGAAUCCCGUCGAGGGCACCA
rnacentral:tRNA from 1 species